rnacentral:lncRNA from 1 species
UUCCGGAAAAUGUUUUCCAGUUUGUUUGAACACAACUUGAACAGGUACUAUCCUCUUCCUUUCUAAAAACUAUGUGGUGAUAAUACAUUCAAGAUCUUAACCUAGCUCCCUACCCCCAAAAAAUAAAUUCAAAACUGCUAUCUAGAACCUCCUAUAUGUGAACACCCAUAUAAAUACACAGCAUGAUUUGCAUUGCCAAAAGCACCAAUCAGACAGAAAGCUAGAUAAAACAAUAACUAGCUCAAAACAAAAUAACAAAACCAAUUAACGUCAAAAAGUUCAACAAUGUUAUAAAGAAUUAAAAACAAAUAUUUCAUGCAUAUGAUCAAAUAUUCCUUUUAACAGUGCCAACCUUGGUAUCAGAAUCCGUUUGCACAGGCUUAUCUCCACUGUCAAAGGUACCAUUUUCCACCCCGGGGGUAUCAUCACUGGCCUUUGCAUCUUGCAUGUUAACAUCACUGUCAUUGAAGGUUGGAGGCACAGCAGCAUUUGUAGGAGCUCCAUCAGUGUCCAUCUUGGUAUUUUCUGCAGCUGAUUCUUUGGAAACUGGCACCUCGACUUCUUCCUCUUCCAACAUCUAAACAAAACAAGGAAAAGCUGUUACAUAACAGGAAUAAAUGCUCUCUGGUUUAUUACCAUAAGCUUAUCAGAGAAGGUCUGGCAGGAAAAAAAAUCACCAAAAUAUAAUGAUACUUACAGUUGCCAAGUCCACAGAUACGAUUCCAUGCAGAUUCAAUCGAACUUUAACCUUAACCUUUGCCCUUUCACUUUUUGUGCUUUGGAAAGGACCAAUCUGCAUACACAUGAGAAUCAGCAAAAGGACUGCCAAGAGGAAAGAAUGUAAUAAAGAAAGAGGACACUUGGAAACCCACUCACAGUAUAUGUGCUAAUCUUAGAAGCUUGCAGCCCACUCGCAUCACCAUAUUGUACAUCAACAGAAAAUGUUCCUGACCUGUAGAAUGUCAGUGCCUUGAUACUUGGUAUGGGAUUGCCUUUGGGGAAAACAACUGUACUCAGCUGAUUAUCUGAUCCACUAUUUUGUGCAUCCGGACCAGAACCUUUCCAUGAAAGAGAAAUAGAGAAAGGUAGGCUUUCGUUGACCUACACAUUAUUAAAUAAAAUAGCAACAUCAUACCAUGUACAAAUCAUAGUGUAUGACCAAUUCACUUCUCAGACAUAGCAAUUAAAAAAGCACAAAAUAAACUGAAGCCAAAUUCCAAAAGGCCUAUACAGAGGCAAAUACAAGAAUUCAACAACCAAGCCUUAAUCUCACCAGGUGGGAUCAGCUAAGGCAUAUACCAGAAUAAGUAAUUAAAAUAGCAUAACAAAUGCUUAAGUGUGUUUUCCUAAAGACUUUAGCAGUUUAGUACAGAAUAAGUACUGGGGAUAAUAACCAAACAAGCUUACAAAAGUGUAAUAUAUGAGGCUCUCUGAGCUGCAGUAGAAAACAGUGCAAUGGAAGACAAAACUUUACCUGAAAUUCUCGUACUCUAAAUGUUGGACUAAGAAUUGCACACUGCAAGGCGCAACCCCUGGCAACGCAUUCACUAGCAUUCAUUGUCCGCCUAGGGUCCUUUUUGAAAAACUCUGUCAAUAUUUUAUUUAUAGCUGGUACACGAGAACCUGAACCAACAAUCUCAACCAUGUGUACAUCUUCAACCGUAAGGCCUGCUUCAGCAAGUGCCUUCUCCAAAGGUCCCUUCACACGUUCCAGAAUUGGAAGACUUAGUUGCUCAAAGUCAUCACGUUUGAUGAAGCUCCUGACAUCCUUCUCAUCCAUUAAGCACUCGAUGUUCAGAGGUGCCUCAGGAUUUGCACUAAGCACCUUCUUUAGCUUCUCACAAGCAGCUCUGAGCCUUAGAGAAUUUGGCCUAUUCCCAAAGGGUUCCACACACAAUUAUUCUCUCUUCAAAACCUUUUUUUCUGGAAAAAAUAAAUCCGGAUUCCAAAGACCACAACAUUAAAAAUUUAUGCAACUGUCAAAAUAUAUUAAUAAAAACUUACUCAAAUGAUAUGGCUCAUGGCUCUAUACCAAAGAUCCAAGAUUCUCAGUAGCCAAGCCAGCUUAGAAGUUAGUAGUGACUACAGAUCUUGGCAUGAGAAUUUGAGAGCAAAACAACAACAAAAAUUAUACUGACCCAGCAUUCUCUGGCUUAUCAGUCUCCAUUGGUUCAGUAGAUUCUGGUGGGACGUCACUACUAGCGGCACCAGCAUUCCCAUUAGCAUCACCACCCUGAGGUGGUGGGGUUGCUGGUGUUGGUGGAGUAACUGGCUUGGCCGGCUUUGGUUUCGUCAUAAUCGGCUUAGAGAACCUGUUAAGAAGUCGAUAUUAUGUCAAACAGAAAACAUAAUGAACAAUUAACUAAAAAAAUAUGAUAUACAAUGAUAAGAAUCCGACAUAAAAAAAGAGCAGCUCAGUGCACGAGGCUCCCACUUAGUGGGGUAUGGGGAGGGUAAAUGUACACAGCCUUGGAAAGGUUGUUUCCGGGAUUUGAACCUAUAUGACCUCAUGGUCACUAAGCAACAACCUUUUUAACAGGUUUAUAUAAACACAUGUAGACCACAACAAAGGACUAUCAAUAGCUAAAUAAGCUGAAACCACCUACACACAGAAAGAAAUUGAAAAAUACCUAUCAACAGCCUCAGCUUUCUUUCUUAUAUCGGCAGACAAGAGUACAGGGUUGGCAUAUUUUGGAAGUGAGUCCUGCUGCUGCUUCUUCUCCCUAAGCCAGUUUUCAGCUUCAACACAUUCAGUUAAGACCUAUGAACAUAAAAGGAAAAAACAAUUUCCGAUUAAAGCAUGUUAGUAACCACUUAUUUUGGACAAAUAGUUGUUUUUUGUUAUAAAAAAAAAUCUCUCUGAGCUUUCUGUUUUGAUUUUGAAUACAAAACAAGCUAAUCCAAACAUGAUCCGAUAACUAAUUAAGAAACAAAGGCAAGAAAAUAGAUCUGUGAUACCUUCUGUUUCUCGUUGAUGUCAAUAUGAUCAAAUUUGGGAUCAGUUGACAAUGCAGCUUCUCUGUAACUAUUAAUACAAUAGAUGAACUGAUCAAUCACUGUACCCCUCUCCGUAUAUUCUUUAUAACGCUCUUCAACUGGAUCACCUUGCUGCAACCACAUAAAUCUCCAUUAAAAUUACAAGCAUAAAACUAGCAUGGAAGUAUCUCAAAACCACUUAUGGUUGUGCACACAAAAAAAGAAAAGGGUAAUAGCAACAGAGAUUCACCCAUCCCUUUCUCUUUGUACAAUUUUAAAGUUUGAGAGUGAAAGCAAGAAUUCUUUAUUCUUUUACCCCCAAAACUUCUUACCUUUUUUAGUUCUUCAAGUUUGGCAACAUAUACACCUUUAGUUUCAUCUUCGCCAUCCUCAUAUAGCCAGUCUUCCACCUCCUGAAGUUUGGCAAUAAAACCUUCCUUCUCUGGAGCAGUCACAAACUCUUCAUAUUUGUCAUUAAGCUGGAAUGAUAGCAGAAAAAUUAGUUUCAGCGAUCAUCAAAUGAUAAACAUUUGCAUUUGAUGGUUUGACCUUGGGUAAGAGAAGGACAUAGAUAAUCCUCACCUUGUUUCUCAUGUCAUAAACAUAAGCCUCAACUGCAUUUUUCUUGUCCUUGGUUUCUUCCAUCACCCGAUCUUGCAAAGCCAUUUCAAACUCCUUCUCAACAGCUUUCUGAACAUCCACAGGUAUCAUUGCUCCAUAAACUAACUCUGCUACUGGAAUGUUUGUUUUCUUAACCUUUUUCUUGGGAGCCUGAACCUACAACAUCAGAAGCCCAGUCAGCCAAAUUACAAAAAUCAAUUAGCCAUACUGUACAACAGAACUAGUUGAAGCACAAAGUUCAAAAAAUCAAAGUACAAAAUUUGCAUAUAUGGGUAUCAGAUUGUGCAUUACAGUAUAUCCAUCGGAGUGUUAAAAUCAUGUAUAGAGUGAAGAACGAAACCAUUUAAGUUUAAACCAUCACAGUUUGGCACGAACACACAGAAAUAACAAAAUAAAACUUAACAAUCAAGGUCAUAUUUGCAAAGUUCUUCCGGAAAAUGUUUUCCAGUUUGUUUGAACACAACUUGAACAGGUACUAUCCUCUUCCUUUCUAAAAACUAUGUGGUGAUAAUACAUUCAAGAUCUUAACCUAGCUCCCUACCCCCAAAAAAUAAAUUCAAAACUGCUAUCUAGAACCUCCUAUAUGUGAACACCCAUAUAAAUACACAGCAUGAUUUGCAUUGCCAAAAGCACCAAUCAGACAGAAAGCUAGAUAAAACAAUAACUAGCUCAAAACAAAAUAACAAAACCAAUUAACGUCAAAAAGUUCAACAAUGUUAUAAAGAAUUAAAAACAAAUAUUUCAUGCAUAUGAUCAAAUAUUCCUUUUAACAGUGCCAACCUUGGUAUCAGAAUCCGUUUGCACAGGCUUAUCUCCACUGUCAAAGGUACCAUUUUCCACCCCGGGGGUAUCAUCACUGGCCUUUGCAUCUUGCAUGUUAACAUCACUGUCAUUGAAGGUUGGAGGCACAGCAGCAUUUGUAGGAGCUCCAUCAGUGUCCAUCUUGGUAUUUUCUGCAGCUGAUUCUUUGGAAACUGGCACCUCGACUUCUUCC